rnacentral:snRNA from 1 species
CCUUGACUGCAUGUAUACUAAGAAAUUGUAAUGGUACAGAGGAUAUUAGCAUGACCUCUGUGAAAACAAAUUCAUGAAGCAUUCCAUAUUUUU